rnacentral:rRNA from 1 species
CCUACGGGUGGCAGCAGUAGGGAAUAUUGCUCAAUGGGGGAAACCCUGAAGCAGCAACGCCGCGUGGAGGAUGAAUGUCUUCUGAUUGUAAACUCCUUUUGUUAGAGAAGAUAAUGACGGUACCUAUCGACUAAGCACCGGCUAAUACCGUGACAGCAGCCGCGGUCAUACGGAGGGUGCAAGCGUUACUCGGAAUCACUGGGCGUAAAGAGCGCGUAGGCGGGAUAGCAAGUCAGAUGUGAAAUCCUAGGGCUUAACCAUAGAACUGCAUUUGAAACUGUUGGUCUAGCGUGUGGGAGAGGUAGGUGGAAUUCUUGGUGUAGGGGUAAAAUCCGUAGAGAUCAAGAAGAAUACUCAUUGCGAAGGCGGCCUGCUGGAGCAUAACUGACGCUGAUGCGCGAAAGCGUGGGGAGCGAACAGGAUUAGAUACCCUAGUAGUC